rnacentral:rRNA from 1 species
AUUGAACGCUGGCGGCAGGCCUAACACAUGCAAGUCGCACGAGUGGCAGAAGGGUGAGUAAUGUCUGGGAAACUGCCUGAUGGAGGGGGAUAACUACUGGGAACGGUAGCUAAUACCGAAUACCUGAGUAUGUGCCCAGAUGGGAUUAGCUAGGAGGUGGGGUAAAGGCGCACCUAGGCGACGAUCCCUAGCUGGGCUGAGAGGAUUACCAGAAACACUGGAACUGAGACACGGUCCAGACUCCUACGGGAGGCAGCAGUGGGGAAUAUGUCACAAUGGGCGCAAGCCUGAGGCAGCCAUGCCGCGUGUAUGAAGAAGGCCUUCGGGUUGUAAAGUACUUUCAGCGGGGAGGCGUUACCCGCAGAAGAAGCACCGGCUAACUCCGUGCCAGCAGCCGCGGUAAUAC